UACACGGAGAGUUUGAUCCUGGCUCAGAAUGAACGCUGGCGGCGUGCCUAACACAUGCAAGUCGUACGAGAAGGAAGACUUCGGUUUUCUGGACAGUGGCGCACGGGUGAGUAACGCGUGGGUAACCUACCCUCGAGUUUGGAAUAACGCUCCGAAAGGGGUGCUAAUACCAAAUAUGACCACAGAGACUUCGGUCUCAGGGGUAAAA
rnacentral:rRNA from 1 species